UACCCUCAAUAUGGAUGUGUACUGUAGCAAAUCUCAUUCUCCUACCACCUCUCUUCUGCACUCCAUCCUCCCACCACUAUAGAAAUACAGUUCAUAGCCAAGAUGAACAAGAGGAGGAACAAUCACCACACACAAAAAUCAGUCACCAGGCAUCAGAGCCUUCUGGGGUGAACAUCUAUCAUUACCAUCAUCACCACCACCAUCCUCACCGCCGUCAUUGCUGUUUUUUAUGAGCUCACAGGAGUCAUGUGGAGGCCCAGGGGAACCUCGCUUAAAUUCCAUGAUGAAGGCCAUGGGGAGAAACAUUUGACUGGGGCCCUUCUGCAUGAGGAAGUGGAGGUUGUUAGUGUCUCCAGGGCAGAUACCCUGCUAUGUUCUCUGACCCCCCUCCCCACUCCACCGCAGUUGCUGAAAUGGUGCUGGCUUGUCACAGUUGCUCACUCCUGGGAUGAAACAUGGGGUCUGUGGCUGCCUGAGCCCACUGGGCUCUAGACCUCUGUGUGAUGCUCCCCCUGCCCUGUCUGGGUAAAAAACCCCAGCAAGGAGGAAGAGGCAGACCCCCUCAUCCACUCGAUGCGCCUGCAGUAGCUCCCUCAAAUACUCCAGGCCAGGACCACCUCCUUUCAGUGCCAGCAUGAGGCUCCCGGCCAGCACAGUGAAGUUGGGAGAGACACUGGCAGGAUACACACAGCUAUGCAGGCAAAAGAGGAAUCAAAAAGGAUCAAGUUGCCAGCUGCCAUCUGCCUUUUGCCUUUCCCUUCCACUUCCCCCAGCCUGUCACCCUC